CCUACGGGAGGCAGCAGUGAGGAAUAUUGGUCAAUGGACGCGAGCCUGAACCAGCCAAGUAGCGUGAAGGAUGACUGCCCUAUGGGUUGUAAACUUCUUUUAUAAAGGAAUAAAACGAGGCACGUGUGCUUUUUUGCAUGUACCUUAUGAAUAAGGAUCGGCUAACUCCGUGCCAGCAGCCGCGGUAAUACGGAGGAUCCGAGCGUUAUCCGGAUUUAUUGGGUUUAAAGGGAGCGUAGAUGGGUUGUUAAGUCAGUUGUGAAAGUUUGCGGCUCAACCGUAAAAUUGCAAUUGAUACUGGCAGUCUUGAGUACAGUAGAGGUAGGCGGAAUUCGUGGUGUAGCGGUGAAAUGCUUAGAUAUCACGAAGAACCCCGAUUGCGAAGGCAGUUUGCUGGACUGUGACUGACGUUGAUGCUCGAAAGUGUGGGUAUCAAACAGGAUUAGAUACCCCUGUAGUC
rnacentral:rRNA from 1 species